rnacentral:misc_RNA from 1 species
CCUGUUCUUGCUCGACAGUUAACGUGGCUGCCAUUUUGACUUAACGCACUGACAUAACCGAAGAAUCGCACUAGCACGUACUUAUUUUCGAUUCUAUCCUAACGAUCCUCUGUCUGUGGCUACACAUUUUGUUUCCACACCAAAACGCACAACACUAUCCUUAUGACCGAUUGGUCGAAGCGAUGACAGAAACAAGUAGAUCGGUCCGGCACUCGUUCAUUGUCCGACGCUUGACACAGCUAUAGCAGAACCGCUCCGACCCGUUCAGACGCUCGAUCGUCUUUCUCUCCUUUAUCGGACGCCUGUCCUUCUCACGCCGGAUAUGCUAUCAUUGGCCGAGUAUAGUUAACGUCGAAAGCCUCUCUGACUCCCCAAGUCUUAUACGAUUUCGUGCAAAUUCAACGCCGGAAACAAGCCAGGUGUGUUUUGGAACGGAAGCAGAAUCGUUGUUAGUAUAUUAUAAUCCGGACACGUAUCGGUACGUGUUUCAAUGUGCGCGCUCGAAUACCAGUCACGUAUAUAUUAAUAUGCUUUCAAAGGAUCUUGCAGAGUUUUCGCAAAAAAGCUCCAAAAUUCUUGCGCUUUAUAAAUUGUAUCAGCGAAUUUGUUGACGCACGUCUGGUAGAUACACAAAAUCAAUUUUUUGUCGGUAACGUGGGGCAACGCAGUCAAUGAACGAGCGGUUCUUCCUCGUACUUCAAUCCCGUUUUGAACCCAAUUUGAACGUUUCAAUCCCGAGCGAUAUAUGGAUCGAAAUUAAUUUGAAUACGUCAGAUGCCAUUGACGUGAUUGAUAUUUUAAUAUCCUGAAUACCACGGCGUUAAUAUGUACUACGAUGCGUGAGAGAGAUCACCGUCGAAACGUUGCCAAUAAGCAACAAGUUAGCGUGCGAGCUAUACGCAACAAGUCUCAUAAUAGAAUUAAGUUUUUGUACGUUUGUUCGAACUUGGGAAAACAAAGUUGGACGUAUUUCUUCGUAUAAAUUCGAUUCGUGUCUAGGAGCGUGGUUAAAUGUAACGAAUAAAG